AUGAACGCUGGCGGCGUGCCUAAUACAUGCAGGUCGAGCGAACGGACGAGAAGCUUGCUUCUCUGAUGUUAGCGGCGGACGGGUGAGUAACACGUGGAUAACCUACCUAUAAGACUGGGAUAACUUCGGGAAACCGGAGCUAAUACCGGAUGAUAUUUUGAACCGCAUGGUUCAAAAGUGAAAGACGGUCUUGCUGUCACUUAUAGAUGGAUCCGCGCUGCAUUAGCUAGUUGGUAAGGUAACGGCUUACCAAGGCAACGAUGCAUAGCCGACCUGAGAGGGUGAUCGGCCACACUGGAACUGAGACACGGUCCAGACUCCUACGGGAGGCAGCAGUAGGGAAUCUUGCGCAAUGGGCGAAAGCCUGACGGAGCAACGCCGCGUGAGUGAUGAAGGUCUUCGGAUCGUAAAACUCUGUUAUUAGGGAAGAACAUAUGUGUAAGUAACUGUGCACAUCUUGACGGUACCUAAUCAGAAAGCCACGGCUAACUACGUG
rnacentral:rRNA from 1 species